rnacentral:rRNA from 1 species
GAUGAACGCUGGCGGCGUGCCUAAUACAUGCAAGUCGAGCGAAUGGAUUAAGAGCUUGCUCUUAUGAAGUUAGCGGCGGACGGGUGAGUAACACGUGGGUAACCUGCCCAUAAGACUGGGAUAACUCCGGGAAACCGGGGCUAAUACCGGAUAACAUUUUGAACCGCAUGGUUCGAAAUUGAAAGGCGGCUUCGGCUGUCCCUUAUGGAUGGACCCGCGUCGCAUUAGCUAGUUGGUGAGGUAACGGCUCACCAAGGCAACGAUGCGUAGCCGACCUGAGAGGGUGAUCGGCCACACUGGGACUGAGACACGGCCCGGACUCCUACGGGAGGCAGCAGUAGGGAAUCUUCCGCAAUGGACGAAAGUCUGACGGAGCAACGCCGCGUGAGUGAUGAAGGCUUUCGGGUCGUAAAACUCUGUUGUUAGGGAAGAACAAGUGCUAGUUGAAUAAGCUGGCACCUUGACGGUACCUAACCAGAAAGCCACGGCUAACUACGUGCCAGCCGCCGCUGUAA